CAAGCCCUUGUGAACAAGGCCAUCAAUGCAGAGACAGCUCAACUCACUUACGAGGAGUCUCGUAAGCACACCCGUGAUCUGGGAUCUCCCUCUGGCUCUAGCUCCCAGAAACGCCGGAUUUGGGUUCCAAACUCCGCUCUUCCUUCCGGUUAUACACCGAGGUCAUCUCAUGUGGUGCCUCCUCCAGCUCAGUCAUAUGUUCCACCCAGGCCUACUGGUAGACCGUUUGUCAGUGCGGGUCCCCGUCCAACCUCAGGGACUUGCUUCACAUGCGGGAAGCCAGGACACUAUGCACGUGAUUGCUCUCAGACUAGUUAUGCUCCACCCCAGCCCGAGAAGACUGUUGGCUGUAUUAAGCCAUCACGCAAGAUGAUCAGUGUCAAGUCAGCCCCCACUGAACGUGGACGUGUGCAUCACGUCUCAGCUAAAGACGCUCAUGAUGAUCCAGAUGUCGUUCUUAGCACACUCCUCGUCAAUUGUCACCCAGCAUCAGUUCUAUUCGAUACUGGAGCAUAUCACUCCUUCAUUUCUAAAAGCUAUGCUAACUUGCACAACCUGUCAUUUUGUGAAAUGCCAACUCCGCUAGUCAUCCAAACUCCUGGAUCCAAAUGGCAAACCUCUAGUGUAAGCCAUGGUAACGAAAUCCUUGUUGACAGACUUGUAUUCCUUGCAUCACUUGUAGCCCUCAAGUCUUCAGAUAUUAACAUCAUCUUGGGUAUGGACUGGAUGACAGCUCAUCAUGCCAAGAUUGAUUGUUACACAAGAUCUGUUCAACUUACACACCCAUCUGGCAAGAUAGUCACCGUCUCCACUAGAGUUGCAAAGCGUCAGCUCUAUUCUCUUAAUGCCAGCCCUCUUCCAGACCUUGAAGAUAUCCCGGUAGUCCGUGACUUUCCGGAUGUCUUUCCAGAGGAACUGCCAGGUGUUCCACCUGACAGAGAUGUAGAGUUCGUCAUAGAUCUUAUCCCAGGAACAGCUCCAAUAUCCCGGAGGCCUUACAAGAUGGCACCCCUAGAACUAGCCGAGCUUAAGAAACAACUCGAUGAGUCCUUGCAAAAGGGUUUCAUCCGUCCUAGUUCUUCUCCUUGGGCUUGCCCCGUCCUCUUUGUCAAGAAGAAAGACGGUACGGACCGGAUGGUCGUUGAUUAUCGUCCCGUUAAUUUGGUCACGAUAAAGAACAAGUAUCCGCUUCCCAGGAUCAACGACCUGUAUGAUCAGCUCGCUGGAUCCUCAGUCUUCUCCAAGAUGGAUUUAAGGUUAGGCUACCAUCAAAUCAAGAUCAGAAACGGGGACAUUCCCGAGACAGCUUUUGUCACUCGUUAUGGUCAGUACGAGUACACCGUCAUGUCCUUUGGUCUAACCAAUGCCCCAGCUACAUUCUCCCGCUUGAUGAACUUGAUCUUCAUGGAGUACUUAGAUAAGUUCGUCGUGGUUUACCUCGAUGAUAUUCUUAUUUACUCGAAGAACGAGGAAGAGCAUGCC
rnacentral:rRNA from 1 species